rnacentral:rRNA from 1 species
CCUACGGGGAGCAGCAGUGGGGAAUAUUGGACAAUGGGCGAAAGCCUGAUCCAGCCAUGCCGCGUGUGUGAAGAAGGCCUUCGGGUUGUAAAGCACUUUCAGUGGGGAAGAAAGCCUUGGGGCUAAUACCCUCGAGGAAGGACAUCACCCACAGAAGAAGCACCGGCUAACUCCGUGCCAGCAGCCGCGGUAAUACGGAGGGUGCGAGCGUUAAUCGGAAUUACUGGGCGUAAAGCGCGCGUAGGCGGUCUGAUAAGCCGGUUGUGAAAGCCCCGGGCUCAACCUGGGAACGGCAUCCGGAACUGUCAGGCUAGAGUGCAGGAGAGGAAGGUAGAAUUCCCGGUGUAGGGGUGAAAUGCGUAGAGAUCGGGAGGAAUACCAGUGGCGAAGGCGGCCUUCUGGACUGACACUGACGCUGAGGUGCGAAAGCGUGGGUAGCAAACAGGAUUAGAUACCCGGGUAGUC